rnacentral:rRNA from 1 species
AUUGAACGCUGGCGGCAGGCCUAACACAUGCAAGUCGAACGGUAACAGGAAACAGCUUGCUGUUUCGCUGACGAGUGGCUGACGGGUGAGUAAUGUCUGGGAAACUGCCUGAUGGAGGGGGAUAACUACUGGAAACGGUAGCUAAUACCGCAUAACGUCGCAAGACCAAAGAGGGGGACCCUCGGGCCUCUUGCCAUCGGAUGUGCCCAGAUGGGAUUAGCUUGUUGGUGGGGUAACGGCUCACCAAGGCGACGAUCCCUAGCUGGUCUGAGAGGAUGACCAGCCACACUGGAACUGAGACACGGUCCAGGCUCCUACGGGAGGCAGCAGUGGGGAAUAUUGCACAAUGGGCGCAAGCCUGAUGCAGCCAUGCCGCGUGUAUGAAGAAGGCCUUCGGGUUGUAAAGUACUUUCAGCGGGGAGGAAGGGAGUAAAGUUAAUACCUUUGCUCAUUGACGUUACCCGCAGAAGAAGCACCGGCUAACUCCGUG